UUCUACUCAUGAGUUAAUGCUAAUGAAAGACCCCUGGAGCGGGGAGACCCUCACUCUAGUCUCGGGAUGAUGCGAUCCCACAAGAACUCACUUGAGACC
rnacentral:pre_miRNA from 14 species